rnacentral:rRNA from 1 species
AAACCAGCACCUCAAGUGGUCAGGAUGAUUAUUGGGCCUAAAGCAUCCGUAGCCGGCUCUGUAAGUUUUCGGUUAAAUCUGUACGCUCAACGUACAGGCUGCUGGGAAUACUGCAGAGCUAGGGAGUGGGAGAGGUAGACGGUACUCGGGAGGAAGUGGUAAAAUGCUUUGAUCUCUCGAUGACCACCUGUGGCGAAGGCGGUCUACCAGAACACGUCCGACGGUGAGGGAUGAAAGCUGGGGGAGCAAACCGGAUUAGAAACCCGGGUAGUCC